GACCGGGAAAAUCUGACAGGACUGAGAAGAUGACAACAGCACAGCGGGGUUUUAGAAGCCCAUCAGAGUGAUUUUCUGAGUUCUUUCACAUGCUGUAUGGUCAGCGAAUGGAUGGAUUAUCCAGUCAUGGUACAUAAUGAAAGAUGCAGUUAUGUCAAAGCACUCGUUUCGGCUGGACAGAUUGGAACAGACCUGAAUGGGAAGAUGGCAGAGCUAAGACCGGCAAUGUCCAGGAAAAAUGUUAACUAAAAAUGAGUGUGUUUUUCCCCAGCGAGUGAGUUUGGGAAUGUUUUAAAUGUGCCUAGAAGUUUGAAAAUGUAAUACUGAGGAAAAAAGUGAGCGCUUUGAAAAGGCUUUAAAAAGAAAAAAAAGUCUGAUGUUGAUGUUAAAUGAAGUUAAAGUUUUUACUUGAAAAGUUUGUACUUGUUUGUACUUGUCAAGUCUGUGCUGAAAAAAAUGCAGUAAAGUUUGUAUUUGAAAAGACUUGGAAUUGUGUGUUCUGUAGAAUGAGUACAAAUAUAUGUGCAGGCUGUAUAAAAAACAUAGUUGUGCCACUAAUAUAAGUGAAAGUACAUGGUGUCAUCAUAUUAGAAUC